rnacentral:lncRNA from 10 species
AAAAAGAAGAAAGGGUGACUUUGGGAACAGAAAUGAACUGAAAUCAAGAAACAGAAGGGCCAAGGAAAGAAGUCCAUUUGAAUGUAUCAACAUGCAGGGGGCAACCACUGAAAGGAGUGACUACCCACCCAUCAAGAGCUGGCAAUUCGCUGCUAUUAACCGUGACUGUGAUUCCCAGUCCGCCUGGCAGUUCCUGAGAAAGGCCUGCAAUGUCUCAUAUGCAGUAAAAGCUGUAAGAUGCACCCUGGCCAGCACACUCGACCUGAUGGAUGUACAAUCCUCAGGAACAGUAAUGGAUUGAGCACACUUGCGAUUGAAGCAGGGAGAGGAGGCCCAGACCCCUACAAAGGGCCUGCUGAUUUAACAGUCGCUUUACAUGUAAUUGAACUUUUCAUGUACCUGAAAGGCUCAAGGUGAUGGUGGAAGAAACGGAACAACAAUGAUUGAAGGAAAAAAGUCAAUAAAUACAAAAGGAUUCCUCUUAGUGAUGAUCACAAGCCCACGGCGUGGCUCUGAAUCUAUGAUUACAUAUUCAGCUCGUUCUGAUUCAAGAAUGCUUGGCGAAGUAUGCCCUUGUGGAGAAGCAUUGUUUGUUGGUUAAGAACCUAACAUUCGGAGAGUUAACUUAAUACAGUUAAUGACAUCUCCAUGUGGAAGGAAGGGAACAAGAGAAUUCCUUUGAUGAAACUCUGGUGCCAUUGAAUGCAUUAUUAUGCCUCAGUGGGAAAAAUACCUUCUGGAGAAUUGUCCAUAGUAGACACUCAUAGAUAGAGGGAGCUGUACUUACAGAGGAAUGAGUAAUGUGAUGGCAGCUUGCAGUGUUAAUUUUGCCACUCUGUGGAUAUAGUUGAGCCAAAAGGAAAACAAACAAACCCAAACUCUGAAUUUGAAGUACCUUCAAACAGUACCCAUAUGCUUUAUAGACUAGUAGUUGGCAAAUAGAAUACAACAGCAAAGAGCCCCCAUACUUGGAGGAUUUCAGUGAUUGGGGUGUUUUUGCAAGAGGGGUUAAGAAAAAUCAGUGCAGUCUGUACCUUUCUUUCACUUGGAAAACAUACAUACAUAAUUCACAUGCUAUAUAAUCUCCUAGAUGCAUGGCCACAGAGCUGAUAUAUGACCAUUUUUUUCUUAUUGUAGUUUUUAGCCCAAAUAACCACUCUGUGUGUGUAAGAGAAGUCAAGAUGAAAACAAAUACUCUUUUUAGGUUGCUGCAAAUGACCAUGUGUAGACAGACCUGUUCAACUGGAAGUCACGAUUCUGUGACUGUCCUAACAUCACUCGUCCACAUGCCGCCAGACUGCAGUUGGGGGUAGAUCAGUAUCAACAGGAUAGACACAGAGGAAAGAACUCAUGGAAGUGGCGGUUGUGACAAAAGCAACAUAAUUAAAUAUAUUUUAGUAUAUAAACAAAUUAACUGCUUAAAACAUGUAUUUAAUGGGGCCCGGCGUGGUGGCUCAUGCCUGUAAUCCCAGCACUUUGGGAGGCCAAAGCAGGUGGAUCACCUGAGGUCAGAAGUUCG